AAAUUCUUGCCCCCAAAAUGCUUUGUUUUAGAUAUAUUAUAUUGUUUAAAUGACAGUUAUGGCUCCCUUCCCUUUUGACUGCCCUUCCCCCCAACAGAAAAUUCUUGCCACCCCACUGGAGCACCCCUCCUUCAGCACAGGCAAUACCACUGUAUAUAUACAUAGUACAUUACAGCAAGCUGCAGAGAUUUUCUUAAAGUAGAACCUGUUCUUUUUUGUGUAGCUUGAAGAUGUCAUACACGUAGUUGCUUUGCCUGCGAACAGGUUUACAUCGAGUGCCCAAAUAUUGAAUCAUUACCGUCAUUCAUUUCUUUAGAGAAAUUUAUGGAAACAAGAAUAUAAACGUGGCGUGAAUAUAAAUGCUACGCUCGACUGGAGACUAACUGCAUAACGACGCAAUAAAACUCUGUUUUCUUUCUGUGGUGUUUAAUGAACAGUAAAAGCGAUAUUAUUUGUCACAAUAACGGCGAAUGCGUGGAUACGAAACAUUCUGGUUGCAUUUCUCUCUCAUCUGAGCGUCCUCUAUUUAGGUAUUCAAUUAUUGAGAACAACUGUUCAUCUGCAAUGAGGUUAGUUCAAAUAAAACUUUUUAAAGAA